rnacentral:rRNA from 1 species
GAUGAACGCUGGCGGCGUGCCUAAUACAUGCAAGUCGAGCGAAUGGAUUAAGAGCUUGCUCUUAUGAAGUUAGCGGCGGACGGGUGAGUAACACGUGGGUAACCUGCCCAUAAGACUGGGAUAACUCCGGGAAACCGGGGCUAAUACCGGAUAACAUUUUGAACCGCAUGGUUCGAAAUUGAAAGGCGGCUUCGGCUGUCACUUAUGGAUGGACCCGGGUCGCAUUAGCUAGUUAGUGAGGUAACGGCUCACCAAGGCAACGAUGCGUAGCCGACCUGAGAGGGUGAUCGGCCACACUGGGACUGAGACACGGCCCAGACUCCUACGGGAGGCAGCAGUAGGGAAUCUUCCGCAAUGGACGAAAGUCUGACGGAGCAACGCCGCGUGAGUGAUGAAGGCUUUCGGGUCGUAAAGCUCUGUUGUUAGGGAAGAACAAGUGCUAGUUGAAUAAGCUGGCACCUUGACGGUACCUAACCAGAAAGCCACGGCUAACUACGUGCCAGCAGCCGCCGUAA